rnacentral:rRNA from 1 species
CCCUUAGAUGUCCUGGGCGGCCCGCGCGCUACAAUGUCAGCUACUGAGGGUUAAUGCUUUGAAAGAGAGCGCGCUCUCCUUUUAAUUGCUCGCAUGCUGGGAUAAAUGAAUGCAAUUUUGUUUUGAACGAGGAAUUCCUAGUAGCCAUGUUUCACUAGAAGAUGGCGAAUGCGUCCCUGCCCUUUGUACACACCGCCCGUCGCUCCUACCGAUGAGCGUUUUGGCGAAGACGGUUUGAGUAGCUGCGUAAUUUCGUGUUGUUGACUCCGGCAGUUUGAGCCUUCACGUUUAGAGGAAGGAGAAGUCGUAACA